rnacentral:rRNA from 1 species
UGGGGAAUAUUGCACAAUGGAGGGAACUCUGAUGCAGCGACGCCGCGUGAACGAAGAAGGCUUUCGAGUCGUAAAGUUCUUUUAUAUGGGAAGAUAAUGACGGUACCAUAAGAAAAAGCCCCGGCUAACUACGUGCCAGCAGCCGCGGUAAUACGUAGGGGGCUAGCGUUGUCCGGAAUCACUGGGCGUAAAGGGUUCGCAGGCGGAAAUGCAAGUCAGAUGUAAAAGGCAGUAGCUUAACUACUGUAAGCAUUUGAAACUGCAUAUCUUGAGAAGAGUAGAGGUAAGUGGAAUUUUUAGUGUAGCGGUGAAAUGCGUAGAUAUUAAAAAGAAUACCGGUGGCGAAGGCGACUUACUGGGCUCAUUCUGGCGCUGAGGAACGAAAGCGUGGGUAGCAAACAGG